rnacentral:rRNA from 1 species
GCUUCGAGUUAACUCCCAACCCAAUGUGAACCAUACCAAACUGUUGCCUCGGCGGGGUCACGCCCCGGGUGCGUCGCAGCCCCGGAACCAGGCGCCCGCCGGAGGGACCAACCAAACUCUUUACUGUAGUCCCCUCGCGGACGUUAUUUCUUACAGCUCUGAGCAAAAAAUUCAAAAUGAAUCAAAACUUUCAACAACGGAUCUCUUGGUUCUGGCAUCGAUGAAGAACGCAGCGAAAUGCGAUAAGUAAUGUGAAUUGCAGAAUUCAGUGAAUCAUCGAAUCUUUGAACGCACAUUGCGCCCGCCAGUAUUCUGGCGGGCAUGCCUGUCCGAGCGUCAUUUCAACCCUCGAACCCCUCCGGGGGGUCGGCGUUGGGGAUCGGGAACCCCUCAGACGGGAUCCCCGGCCCCGAAAAUACAGUGGCGGUCUCGCCGCAGCCCUCUCCUGCGCAGUAGUUUUGCACAAACUCGCACCGGGGAGCGCGGCGCGUCCACGUCCGUAAAACACCCAACUUUCUGAAAUGUUGACCUCGGAUCAGGGUAGGAAUACCCGCUGAACUUAAGCAUAUGG